AACCUGCUGCUGGAUCAUUACCUUGUCUGACAACGACACACGUAAUGCUUUUGCCCCGUUGUGGCCGGAUGGUAAUCUUCUACCAGGUUGAGCAGAGUCCUUGACUAUCGGCACAUCGGGUGUAGAGGACAAGCCAGUUUGUUUGGAGCUGUCGCUGCUUCUGGCAUCCUGGCGAGUCUGUGGUCAUACUUCCUCUGCCGCUGAGGAAGGGGUACUGAGCUUUUGUCCUUCUCGGCUCUUACCUGGCCUCGACUACAGGCGAAAACGGCUGUUGCUGGAUCCUAUGUAACGCUGAGCGACUGUUGAAUAAAGUCCGUGGUCUGCAAUGAGGUGUUACGAUAGCCUUCUCCACAUGUCGCUGUGGAGGGGUAGGAUUAAUGAGUUCCAGAUUCGGUGCCGCCAGCAAAUCCUUUCUUUUUCACUUUUUUUUCUGAAAACAAAAAAUAUCUAGUCUUGCCGGUGGAUCACUUGGCUCGUAGGUCGAUAAAGAUCGCAGCCAAACGCGAUAGUUGGUGCGAACUGCAGAUAUUCUGAGCACUAAAGUAUCGAAUGCACAUUGCGCCUCGGGAGUCACAUCCCUUGGCACGUCUGGUUCAGGGUCGUUUUCACAAAAGCCGAAGACAAUCGGUUUGAACACUUGAUCAUAGGUCCCUGCCGCUGGAGACCGGGUGAUCAAGCGAGCAUUGCUCAUUCUUUGAGCGUCUAGUUCGCCGAAGGGCAAGGUCGGUGUUGAACAGAGCAUCCAGCCGAACCUGUCAGCCUGGGCGUUCCAGGGAAUCGCAAUAGCGACCUGAACUCAGUCGAGAUCACCCGCUGAACUUAAGCAUA
rnacentral:rRNA from 1 species